GACGAACGCUGGCGGCGUGCUUAACACAUGCAAGUCGAACGGUGAAGCGCCUUCCUUUUUGGUGGGUGUGGAUGAGUGGCGAACGGGUGAGUAACACGUGAGUAACCUGCCCCCUUCUUCUGGAUAACCGCAUGGAAGUGUGGCUAAUACGGGAUAUUCUGGGUCUGUCGCAUGAUGGGUCUGGGAAAGAUAUUGUUUCGGUGGGGGAUGGGCUCGCGGCCUAUCAGCUUGUUGGUGGGGUGAUGGCCUACCAAGGCGGUGACGGGUAGCCGGCCUGAGAGGAUGGACGGUCACACUGGGACUGAGACACGGCCCAGACUCCUACGGGAGGCAGCAGUGGGGAAUAUUGCACAAUGGGCGCAAGCCUGAUGCAGCGACGCCGCGUGAGGGAUGGAGGCCUUCGGGUUGUGAACCUCUUUCGCCAGUGAAGCAGGCCUGCCUCGUUUGUGGGUGGGUUGACGGUAGCUGGAUAAGAAGCGCCGGCUAACUACGUG
rnacentral:rRNA from 1 species